rnacentral:lncRNA from 1 species
ACCGCCAUUGCACCACCACAAAACUGCCAUAACCAUCAUCACCAUCAAAUGCAGGAAAUCACCGGAACUCUCUCUCCUUCUCUUCUCCAUCUCACUUUUUUCUCCAUAGCCACCACCACCUGAAACCCCCUCUAGCUGGCAACCACCACCUAAAACCGACGCUUUCCAGAUCUGUUCCGCCGCCACCUAAAACCGGAGCUCUCUCUUCUUCAUCACUCUUUCUUCCGCCGCCUCUUAAUGUGGCCAGAUAUGUGACACCUGUGAACUCGUUGGCCGACCGACCACCACCAAACCCAUUGCCUCCUUGUUCGUCCCUGAUAAACACGGUAUCAUUCCUUUCUACUUUCUCUCUGAUUUUCCCGCUUCAAGUUCCGUAAUUGUUGCUGAUUUAUGAUAUUUGAUCUUUUUUUGAGGAAAUUUGGGCGAUAUUGUUCUUGGAUUUGAUACUCUCAAACCCUAUAUGCUUCUUUUGCUUCUUUUGGCCGGCCCGACCUUUUGUGAAGAACCGUCAGCCCAACCGCCCGGAUCCCGGCUCGACCCUCGGGUCAAUGUUGAAACAGCCUAACUAGCUGAAUCGGCCCGCUGCACCUUCUGGAUCCCGGUCGGACCGGUCCGUCCGACCGGCCGGCCCGGACCGGGUUUAAAAACGUUGAUAAAGUUAAAGUAUUUAGCGGAAGCAUUAAACACAAGGUCCAAAAUAGUUUAAAACAUAAGUCUAAGAGUCCAUAACGGAUUUCAAAAUGAUACCACACUCCUUCAGCUAAAAGCUCCAGCACUGCAUCUACGGACCUGCAAGCAUGCAUCAAUAUGUCAACAUAAAGUUGGCGAGUUCACGAUUUAAAAAGAGUUUUCUUGUUUUAUCCCAAAACUUCAUUUGUUUAAGUUACCGUUUAUAAAACAUGCCACGGGGAGCUACCCCAUGUAAGUUACCAAACUGUGUAGUACCGAAACUGAGACUUAUAGUGCAUUUGCCCUU